UACGGAGGGAGCUAGCGUUGUUCGGAAUUACUGGGCGUAAAGCGCGCGUAGGCGGCUUUGUAAGUUAGAGGUGAAAGCCCGGGGCUCAACCCCGGAAUUGCCUUUAAGACUGCAUCGCUUGAAUCCGGGAGAGGUGAGUGGAAUUCCGAGUGUAGAGGUGAAAUUCGUAGAUAUUCGGAAGAACACCAGUGGCGAAGGCGGCUCUCUGGAACGCAACUGACGCUGAGACGCGAAAGCGUGGGGAGCAAACAGG
rnacentral:rRNA from 1 species